GAUGAACGCUGGCGGCGUGCCUAAUACAUGCAAGUCGAGCGAACAGACGAGGAGCUUGCUCCUCUGACGUUAGCGGCGGACGGGUGAGUAACACGUGGAUAACCUACCUAUAAGACUGGGAUAACUUCGGGAAACCGGCGCUAAUACCGGAUAAUAUAUUGAACCGCAGGGUUCAAUAGUGAAAGACGGCUUUGCUGUCACUUAUAGAUGGAUCUGGGCCUCAUUGGCUGGUUGGUAAGGUAACGGCUUACCAAGGCAACGAUGCGUAGCCGACGUGAGAGAGGGAUCGCCCACCCUGGAACUGAGACGCCGUCCAGACUCCUGCGGGAGGGAGCAGUAGGGAAUCUGACGCAAUGGGCGAAAGCCUGACGGAGCAACGCCGCGUGAGAGAUGAAGGUCUUCGGAUCGUAAAACUCUGUUAUUAGGGAAGAACAAAUGUGUAAGUAACUAUGCACGUCUUGACGGUACCUAAUCAGAAAGCCACGGCUAACUACGUG
rnacentral:rRNA from 1 species